CCUACGGGUGGCUGCAGUGGGGGAGAUUGGACAAUGGGGGAAACCCUGAUCCAGCGACGCCGCGUGAGUGAAGAAGUAUUUCGGUAUGUAAAGCUCUGUCAGCAGGGAAGAAAGAAAUGACGGUACCGGACCAAGAAGCCACGGCUAACUACGGGCCAGCAGCCGCGGUAAUACGUAGGGGGCAAGCGUUAGCCGGAAUUACUGGGUGUAAAGGGAGCGUAGACGGUGAUGCAAGUCUGGAGGGAAAGGCGGGGGCCCAACCCCCGGACUGCUCUGGAAACUGUGUAACUUGAGUGCAGGUGAGGUCAGCGGAAUUCCUAGUGUAGCGGUGACAUGCGUAGAUAUCUGG
rnacentral:rRNA from 1 species